rnacentral:rRNA from 1 species
CAGAGACUGCAAGCGUUAUUCGGAUUCACUGGGCGUAAAGGGUGCGCAGGCGGUUGGGUGUGUCAGAUGUGAAAUCCCGAGGCUUAACCUCGGAACUGCGUCUGAAACUACUCGACUAGAGUAUUGGAGAGGGUAACGGAAUUCACGGUGUAGCAGUGAAAUGCGUAGAUAUCGUGAGGAACACCAGAGGCGAAGGCGGUUACCUGGACAAUUACUGACGCUCAGGCACGAAAGCAUGGGGAGCAAAAGGGAUUAGAUACCCCUGUAGUCCAUGCCCUAAACGGUGCACACUAGGUCUUAGCGGAUUCGACCCCACUAGGGCCCAAGCUAACGCGUUAAGUGUGCCGCCUGAGGACUACGGUCGCAAGACUA